rnacentral:rRNA from 1 species
AACGAACGCUGGCGGCAGGCCUAACACAUGCAAGUCGAGCGCACCUUCGGGUGAGCGGCGGACGGGUUAGUAACGCGUGGGAACGUACCCUUUUCUACGGAAUAGCCUUUGGAAACGAAGAGUAAUACCGUAUACGCCCUUUGGGGGAAAGAUUUAUCGGAGAAGGAUCGGCCCGCGUUAGAUUAGAUAGUUGGUGGGGUAACGGCCUACCAAGUCUACGAUCUAUAGCUGGUUUUAGAGGAUGAUCAGCAACACUGGGACUGAGACACGGCCCAGACUCCUACGGGAGGCAGCAGUGGGGAAUCUUAGACAAUGGGCGCAAGCCUGAUCUAGCCAUGCCGCGUGAGUGAUGAAGGCCUUAGGGUCGUAAAGCUCUUUCGCCUGUGAUGAUAAUGACAGUAGCAGGUAAAGAAACCCCGGCUAACUCCGUGCCAGCAGCCGCGGUAAUACGGAGGGGGUUAGCGUUGUUCGGAAUUACUGGGCGUAAAGCGCACGUAGGCGGAUUGGAAAGUUGGGGGUGAAAUCCCGGGGCUCAACCCCGGAACUGCCUCCAAAACUAUCAGUCUAGAGUUCGAGAGAGGUGAGUGGAAUUCCAAGUGUAGAGGUGAAAUUCGUAGAUAUUUGGAGGAACACCAGUGGCGAAGGCGGCUCACUGGCUCGAUACUGACGCUGAGUC